rnacentral:rRNA from 1 species
UGGGGAAUAUUGCACAAUGGGCGCAAGCCUGAUGCAGCGAUGCCGCGUGCGGGAAGAAGGCCUUAGGGUUGUAAACCGCUUUCAGUAGGGAAGAAAAUGACGGUACCUACAGAAGAAGGUGCGGCCAACUACGUGCCAGCAGCCGCGGUGACACGUAGGCACCAAGCGUUGUCCGGAUUUAUUGGGCGUAAAGAGCUCGUAGGCGGUUUGGUAAGUCGGGUGUUAAAACUCUGGGCUCAACCCAGAGACGCCAUUCGAUACUGCUAUGACUUGAGUACGGUAGGGGAGUGGGGAAUUUCUAGUGUAGCGGUGAAAUGCGCAGAUAUUAGAAGGAACACCAGUGGCGAAGGCGCCACUCUGGGCCGUAACUGACGCUGAGGAGCGAAAGCAUGGGUAGCAAACA